UGAACGCUGGCGGCGUGCCUAACACAUGCAAGUCGAACGGAGUUUAGCGCUGAUGAAGCUUCGGCAGAUUCUGUUGAACUUAGUGGCGGACGGGUGAGUAACGCGUGGGUAACCUGCCUCAUACAGGGGGAUAGCAGUUGGAAACGACUGAUAACACCGCAUAAGCGCACAGUGUCGCAUGACACAGUGUGAAAAAUAUUUAUAGGUAUGAGAUGGACCCGCGUCUGAUUAGCUAGUUGGUGAGGUAACGGCCCACCAAGGCGACGAUCAGUAGCCGGCCUGAGAGGGCGGACGGCCACAUUGGGACUGAGACACGGCCCAAACUCCUACGGGAGGCAGCAGUGGGGGAUAUUGCACAAUGGGCGAAAGCCUGAUGCAGCGACGCCGCCGUGAGUGAAGAAGUAUUUCGGUAUGUAAAGCUCUAUCAGCAGGGAAGAAAGACCUCGUAAGAGGGGAUGACGGUACCUGAGUAAGAAGCCCCGGCUAACUACGUGCCAGCAGCCGC
rnacentral:rRNA from 1 species